CCACCAAAUUUCUUUUCAGGUGCUUUUUUUCCUAUCAAAGUGAUCAGCGGUGGGGGCGUGCGGUGGGGGUGGGGUUGGGGUUGAGGGGCAGACAGAAAUUGGCUGGAUCAGCUGCUAUUACCUUUGAUGUGAGUGACCCAGAUCAUUUUUUUUUUUUUUACAAAAAUAUGUUGGUAAAAACAGGUGGAGGGAGAGGUGGGUUAAUCAUUGUUAGCCAGUGAAAAUGGCUGACUUAUCUCCAGCACGGUGGGAAAGUUCAGCUGCAGGACCUUGAACUGUGCAUCUGUUGACCAGGUUGGGGGAGCGUGGUUCAUGUCUCAGGAUGAGCUGGACAUUUUGUCCACAGAAAAAUGCUGCAGGACACUCGCUUCACGGAAGGGAGACCCUUUCCAGGAGCAGGCUCUUGUCUAUCACUCGGAAGUGAGUUGUCCAAGGAGACAAAUGUGCUGACGAAGCAAGAGACUUUACUGGGCAGAGGCACCCAGGUGGAGAGCCGCAGGGCAAGGGGACCCAAGAGAACAGCUCUGCCACGUGGCUCACAGUCUCGGGGGUUUUAUGGUAAUGGGAUUAGUUUCUGGGUUGUCUCUGGCCAAUCAUCCUGACAAAGGAUCUUUCCUGAUGGCACACGCAUUGCACAUCCAAGAUGGAUUCCAGCAAGGAGAAUUCGGGAGAUUAUCUCCCAGUAUUCUUGCCUGGAGAUUCUCAUAGACAGAGGAACCUGGCAGGCUACAGUCCAUGGGGUCGCAAGAGUUGGACACGACUUAGCGACUAAACCUCCACCUCCAUAGGUUAUUAAAAGGUAUUGAAUAUGGUUCCCAGUACUAUACAGUAGGUCCAUGUUGUUUGUUUUAUAUACUAUUUUAUAUAAUAGUAUCUGCAUAUCUUUUUAAUUAAAAUAUUUUCAAAAGUAAUGUAUCCACAUAGUUAACAAAAAUUUCAGAGUUUGAAAGAUUGUUCAAUGAAGUCAGUUCUUCCUUCCAUCUCUGGGCACCUUCCAAACCUGGGUGCUGCCAGGACUCAGCCAAGAACUGAGGUACACGGGGAAUCAGAGAAGCACUUCGCAAUUCUCAAGUGGAAGUCAGCUCCCUACAGACAGCCUGUCAUCCAGCUGUGACUCAGAUUGGGGGAGGGGGUCGUCCCUUUCACCCUCUUCUCUUCCCCCUACUAUUUUUCUCUCUCGGCUCUGCCCUGUAGUCCUUUAAUCAACUCUUUCUUUAAUUUUCAGAAUUUUCAUCCCAACCAAAACACCCACGUUGUACAGUCAGUUAUUAGUCCUUCCCUCUUCCGGAGCCCAGCUAGAGGACAUAACUAGGAAAUUAGUAGUCUUGGACCCUGUUAACCCACACCUUACCCCCUCUGAGAGUUCCCAAAUGAGAACCGUGAUGCAGAGAAAAAGGAAGAGGUGAGGCCCAGAAUUGUCAUGAAAACAAACAAUGAGGUUUCUCCCCCUCCCCUCAGGCCUGGAGAGGGCCAAGGAACUAUUCUGAGCUAUGAAAACACAGAAGGGCUCCGCUAGGAAAUAAACAGCUGUCUAUCCCGCCAACGCCUGUCUCCCUAAACAUGAGUCCUGACAGUGCCUGAUCUCCAGCCAGAGAGUGGGAGAGAGAGGGAGAAGGCCGAGGAGAGCCUAUUGUGCCUCCCUUCUUUAGGAUGGAAGGAAAGAUUUGUUUUAUUUAGAAUAUUUUAAAGUUUUUCUGCACCGUAGUAUGUUUGAAGUGGAAGGGGAGGUGCUAGUGUCGUGUAAGUUCAGGGGAUCUCUCCAACCUUGAAUUCCAGAGAUCAGGAUGUGAGUUGCUCCCUCCUCAGCUCUGUGCAACUUCAACCUCCUCUGCUUUACUGGGAAGUCACCAUGACCUUCCCACUGUCAGGUCUGCUGGGUGACCUUUUCUCAUCCUUCCUCUGUUAGUCUUUUGGCUACACCUGACGCUUUUGACAGAUAACUGCCUUGAAACACACACACUCACUGUUUUCAGUGUUGCUGCAGCAAGCUCUGUUUUCCUUUCUCCUCUUCCUCCUCCCAUCAUCGGUCUGAUGUUAGGCCACCCUCUUGGAUCCCAACUGGCUGCCUCAUGCUAUGCAUGCUAAGUCACUUGUGUCUGACUCUCUGUGACCCCAUGGACUGUAGCCCACCAGGCUCCCCUAUUCAUGGGAUUCUCCACGCAAGAAUACUGGAGUGGGUUGCCAUUUCCUCCUCCAGGGGAUCUUCCCGACCCAGGGAUUGAACCUGAGUCUUCUGUGGCUUCUGCAUUGCAGGUGGAUCCUUUACCACUGAGCCACUGGGGAGGCCUCAUACAUCCUCCAAAUCUGAGUUCCUUCCAGAAAUGUUCUUCCUCCAGACUUCUCUGCUUUGUAGAUGCAUCUCUUCCUUCUCUGUCAUCCUACAGGCACUGAGCCUGACCACCUUUGAAUCAUCCUUGACACCUCAUCAGGCCUUGUCUGAUUUUCUUUUCAGGUGGCCACUCAUCAAUCCCCCUGC